CAAAGAGGGGGACCUUAGGGCCUCUUGCCAUCGGAUGUGCCCAGAUGGGAUUAGCUAGUAGGUGGGGUAACGGCUCACCUAGGCGACGAUCCCUAGCUGGUCUGAGAGGAUGACCAGCCACACUGGAACUGAGACACGGUCCAGACUCCUACGGGAGGCAGCAGUGGGGAAUAUUGCACAAUGGGCGCAAGCCUGAUGCAGCCAUGCCGCGUGUAUGAAGAAGGCCUUCGGGUUGUAAAGUACUUUCAGCGGGGAGGAAGGGAGUAAAGUUAAUACCUUUGCUCAUUGACGUUACCCGCAGAAGAAGCACCGGCUAACUCCGUGCCAGCAGCCGCGGUAAUACGGAGGGUGCAAGCGUUAAUCGGAAUUACUGGGCGUAAAGCGCACGCAGGCGGUUUGUUAAGUCAGAUGUGAAAUCCCCGGGCUCAACCUGGGAACUGCAUCUGAUACUGGCAAGCUUGAGUCUCGUAGAGGGGGGUAGAAUUCCAGGUGUAGCGGUGAAAUGCGUAGAGAUCUGGAGGAAUACCGGUGGCGAAGGCGGCCCCCUGGACGAAGACUGACGCUCAGGUGCGAAAGCGUGGGGAGCAAACAGGAUUAGGUACCCUGGUAGUCCACGCCGUAAACGAUGUCGACUUGGAGGUUGUGCCCUUGAGGCGUGG
rnacentral:rRNA from 1 species